ACGGCUAUGUUGGAAUAGGCAGACAAGCCAAGUUUAGGCCUUGGUGGUUAAUACCGUGAGGGUUCAAAUCCCUCUAGCCGUA
rnacentral:tRNA from 1 species